AUUGAACGCUGGCGGAAUGCUUUACACAUGCAAGUCGAACGGCAGCACGGGGCAACCUGGUGGCGAGUGGCGAACGGGUGAGUAAUACAUCGGAACGUGCCCAAUCGUGGGGGAUAACGUAGCGAAAGUUACGCUAAUACCGCAUACGACCUACGGACGAAAGCGGGGGAGCGCAAGACCUCGCGCGAAUGGAGCGGCCGAUGUCAGAUUAGGUAGUUGGUGGGGUAAAGGCUAACCAAGCCGACGAUCUGUAGCUGGUCUGAGAGGACGACCAGCCACACUGGGACUGAGACACGGCCCAGACUCCUACGGGAGGCAGCAGUGGGGAAUUUUGGACAAUGGGCGCAAGCCUGAUCCAGCCAUUCCGCGUGCAGGACGAAGGCCUUCGGGUUGUAAACUGCUUUUGUACGGAGCGAAAAGGCUCUCUCUAAUACAGGGGGCUCAUGACGGUACCGUAAGAAUAAGCACCGGCUAACUACGUGCCAGCAGCCGCCGUAAGAC
rnacentral:rRNA from 1 species